rnacentral:rRNA from 1 species
AGUGAACGCUGGCGGCAGGCCUAACACAUGCAAGUCGAACGGCAGCACAGUAAGUGCUUGCUCUUACCGGUGGCCAGACGCGUACGGGAGACGUAUACAUCGGACCCUACUUUUUGGUGGGGCAUAACGUAGCGAAACUUACGCCAAUACCGCAUACGACCUACGGGUGAAAGCAGUGGAUCUUUGGACCUUGCGGGAUUGAAUGAGCCGAUGUCGGAUUAGCUAGUUGGCGGGGUAAAGGCCCACCAAGGCGACGAUCCGUAGCUGGUCUGAGAGGAGGAUCAGCGACACUGGAACUGAGACACGGUCCAGACUCCUACGGGAGGCAGCAGUGGGGAAUAUUGGACAAUGGGCGCAAGCCUGAUCCAGCCAUGCCGCGUGUGUGAAGAAGGCCUUCGGGUUGUAAAGCCCUUUUGUUGGGAAAGAAAAGCUUCAGGUUAAUACCCCGCGGUUCUGACGGUACCCGAAGAAUAAGCACCGGCUAACUACGUG